UUGUGCAAAUGUGUAUAAAAAAAAAAACAAUUGACAACAUUUAUCUAGCAUGAAAUGAAUUUUCUAAAAAAAGACUUUAAGUAGAGAUCAAUUUUUCUAUUGAUAUGAUUUCCUUUAGAUAUGUUAUAUGUGACCUUUGACCUUAAAUCAAUAUACAUAAGUAGUGUUUUUGCCAUUUGAGCAAUACCUAUAAAACCAGAAAACAAAGUGUCUUAUAACAAUUUGAUAAUAAAAAGCUCACAAUGAUAUGAAACAUCACAAACAGAUACCUUUGAAUAAACUGAAUUAACACUUAACUUAUUAACAGAAAAUAAAAUACCUUUAAAGAAUUUUUUACAAACAAAACCAGAAUUCUUCUAUACGGUAAUGAAUAGCUUGAAAAAAACCUUGAUCAUCAAAAAAGGUUUUCAUUUAACCAACUAAAUAUAGAUUUUUAGUUCCUCUUUUUCACUCAUAAAUGCCAGCAGUACAAUGAACCUUUUUCACAUUUAGGCAAAAUUUUAGGCAGUAAAUUUAAACAUUAAUAAUUGAAUAGCGAACCUUUGUAGAUAGAUGCUAUGUUGAAAAAAAACUAGACAAGUUACAUUUAAUAAACAUAUGUUACACUAAAUAAACAUAUGUUACACUAAAUAAACAUGUGUUACACUGAAUAGUCAUAUGUUACACUGAAUAAACAUGUAAUACACUGAAUAAACAUGUUUUACACUGAAUAAACAUGUGUUACAUUUACACUGAAUGAUACACUAACUAAACAUGAUACUCUGAAUAAACAUAUGUUAUACUGAAUAAACAUGUGUUACACUGAAUAAACAUGUGUUACACUGAAUAAACAUGUGUUACACUUACACUGAAUGAUACACUAACUAGACAUGAUACUCUGAAUAAACAUAUUUAUCAUAUACAUAGCAUUGAUAUGAUAGCUUUUGCAUAUGUGUAAUGAGCGGAAGUACACAAGCCAUAAUUUUCCACCCAGGCUGAUAACCCAUAUCAGCCCGGGCUGAUAACCCAUAUCAGGGGCGUCUCGUGCAAAAACCCAUAACAGUGCUUCUCGUGCAAGUUAUUUCCGGUGUUUCUGGUAUUGAUUGUUUACUUUUUCAUUGUGACGUCAGAUAUUUUUUAUGACAUCAAAAUUUACGGGAACUUUUGUGGGGAUAGUUUAGUACUUGCUAACAAAUGCCAUUGACAAUUAAGAAUAAUUUUAUAGUACAACAAACAUGAAGUAAUAAUGAUCAUAAAACUCUUCCAAAUUUUCAAUGUUUCAAAAUGCCUCAUUAGGAAAUGUACCUAUACAUCUAUAUGGAGGUACUGAUGCUGUUGUUGGACAAUUAUAGUAUAUUUGAUUCAUAACUCAACUUCUUUAUAAAGUUUUUGACUGUUUUAGUUAUUGCAUUUGUUUAUUUGCCUUACAUAAAACUAUUGUCGGAAGUAUAUGAUAAAGCGAUUAAUACAUGGCAUUUUUCAUAUCAGCCUGGGUAUCAUCCCUCGACCCAUAUCAGCACCUCGACUUCGUCUCGGGAUGAUACCAAGGCUGAUAUGGAAAUGGCCAUGUAUUAAUCUCUAUGUUAUACUGAAUAAACAUGUUUUACACUGAAUAAAGUAAUAUAUCCCACCUAUUGUAUCUAUAAAUACCACUAUAAUGGAAUGUUUAUAAGGACUAGAUCAUGUUAUUUUGAUUUGGAUGAUUGUAGUAGUAUUUUGAGCAAUUCCAAAUGAAUAAUGAUCCCAAUAGCAACUGGUUUGUAAACAAAAUAUAAAUCAUGUAGUGGGUACCAGAGCAACAGCAGUUUUGUCCAACAAAUAUUGUUGCAAGGUAAAAUUUAUUGUGAUUCAAAAUAUUUUUAUGAUCUCCAUGGCUGCUUAAAUAUUAUUGUGGAAUAAAAGGCUUACUUUUGUCUGUCCUUUUCAGCCUUAUUAAAUCUGACCAUAAUUUUUCUCCACAAGAUACGUACAAUGGUGCAGUAAAGUAAUGAAUAAAAUAACAUUCACUUGCUAGCUGAACUACACACCAUUUAGUUAAAACUGAAUGUAAAUUUAAAGUUAAUUUAAAAUGCCCCUGUUUUAUGAAAUCAAAAGAUAGCAAGUUGAUGAACUAUGAAUCUGAAAACCCUAUACAUGUUCACCAGAAGCCCGAUAAUAUAUUUCUGCAGGGAUCUCUUAAUUUCAGUUUCAUUGUAAUGAAAAGUUCAUUCAUAGCAUUGUAGAAUUUAAUGGGACGAAAGGACAUAAAGAUGGAUGGACACACAAACAGGCAAAUAAAAACAGUUUACCUCUCCUUUGGAGUGGGCAAAUAAAAAGGGUUUAUCAAAAACAUAUAUAAAUGUAAAAGUUAAAAGUUUCUACAAUAAAAGAUUUUUGUUCUUUAGUCUAAUAUGAGUUACAAUUUUUUGUUUAGUUGCAUAUAAAUUAUGAAAAAAACAAGAUAUAAAUUUUUA
rnacentral:lncRNA from 1 species